UGUUUAUAUUAACAGUUUCGACUGUUCAUAACCAAAAAAAAACCUCUCUCUUCUCGCCGAAACCUAGUUUCGCCGGCGAUACUCUAUUUUUGUCCACUCUCUCGCCGUCAAACAAAUCGUAUUAAAACUUGAAACCCUAGAUGAGAUGAGAUCAGAGAACAGAUCAAACACUGAGUCCACCGUCAGAAUUAGAAUCAUUGUCGCCGACGAUUGAACCAGACGCGCCGGACCUUAUUUGCCAGCUCGAUAAUGUUCAAGGAAUGGUCGAUGCACUCACUUGCGUACGAUGGAAACGCCACCAGGAUGCAUUAGUGGAGUUAUCUGAACACGGAAUAGUAUUAAUCGUGGAGGAAUCAGGUUGUCUUCAAGCCAAAGGUAUCGAUUUCUCAGUUCCCCCAAAAAAAAAUUCGAUUUCACCAUGUUUGUUUGUGGAAUCUGAAAUGUUUUGAGGUUUAAUCGGAGAAAGCUAUUCACGAAAUACGAGUAUGGGUCUCAAGGGAGACCGAGAUUUGGAAUUAGCUUAGGUCUUUUUGUGGAUUGCUUGAACACGUUUUCAUCACCUGGACAUUCGAAUACUAUAGAGAUGAAGUAUCCGGGUCCUGAUAUGGAGCUUCUUCUCAAAUCUGUGGAUACACUAAACGCUUGCAUCUACUCUGAGAUAAGAACGAGAAUCCCAGAAACCGUCACAUGGGACUAUAACUUUGAGCAGGCAGGAAGUGUGCCACUUACUUUUACCGUUAAGAUAGACUUCAU